CAGAAACAACUUCCAUUCUCACAAACUCAUCCCUACACGGCUACACAUUCAAAUUUCAAAUUUCUCUGAAACUUCAUUCUUCUAGAUCUGAAUGAUUUAUUCUUCUUCUUCAUCUCUAUUUAGAUUUAUCGAUCUCUAAUUAAACGCUUGAAAUGAAGUUAAAGAUAAACAAAGCCUGUGAUUUAAAUUCCAUUUCAGUUCUUCCUCCUCAUUCCAGAAGACCAAAUGGAAUCACAUCUGGAAGUGAUUCUUCGAUUUUUGGUAGAAGUCAGCUUCGAUCUCAACAACCUUCACAAGGAAUGUCAUCUCAACUUUCUCAAUUGAUGUCAUCUCAGCUCUCUCAAAACUCUAUUGAUAACAUUAUUAAUAACGAACAGAGAUUUGCUUCUCAAGAAAGAGAGAAUUCUGCAAAGAGGAUUUCUUGUUUAGCACCGAAUUCUCUUGCAAGAGAAGAGACUCAGAUGCCGAAUUCAAGAUCUUCAAACAAUUAUAAGCCUAGAUGGGGAUCUGCUCCUCCUCCUGUUACAGAUCAUCAUAGAUGUCAGGUUAGUGAUGAACUGGAACACAGGAUUGGACAGAUUGAGACUACGCAGAAUCGUCAUGGGAUGAUCCUUGAAUCUAUACAGGGCGACGUCAUGCAAGUAAAGAAGCAUAUGCAAGAGUGCGCAUUGGACAUUGAAGGUAUAAAGCAGAAAUUGGCAGGCCAUGAUAACUCAUUGCAGCUAGUGCUCAAGGGAGAGGAAGAUAUCAAAAAUACCCUCGAUGAAAGCUUCAAAUCCUUUCCUGUUCAGCUCAGAAAGGAAGUACACCAAGAUAUUAUCUCUGCAAUUUCAACAUUUCAGAAUCACAACGAAAAACAGAUGGUCAAGUUAACAACUGAACUUUCUGGAGCAGUGAAGGAAAUAACUGGUUUUCUGCAGCCUUUGGACAAUAAUGAAUCGGUUCCCAGUAUGCUCAAACUGAAAGAGAGAGAGUGCCACCCUGUUCGAUCUCAAAACAUGGAACCUCCAAUGAAUAGUGCCGUCUUGCCUCAAAGAGUAAAUACAAGAAGUAAGCGUAAACCAGAGAAAAAAGCGGAAACUCGGCGAUCGUCAAAACUGAAACCAGAUUCAUUUGCUAAUGCACAUCGAAGUAAAAUUAACGUACCAGAGGAAAUUCCUCUUAUAAACCUGGAUGAAGAAUGGAGGCAGAAUAAUGAAUGGGAUGCAGAGCUCGAUGGUGGUUUUGCCUGCUUACUUGGAGAAAUAGAAACAGGUGUUGGAAGCAGGUUCUUUGAUGAAUCUCAGGUAGAAACUGAUCAGAUUCUUAAGAAAGCUAGAAGAAGAAGCAGAAAAGUUAGCAGUGUUAUAGUUCUAAAUUAAUGGAUAGAAAGAGAUAGAGAAGCAACACGUAAUGGCAAAGAUAUUUUGGUGCAGAUUCAUAGUAGUAUGUGAUUAGACCAUGAACUGAACUUCACAUCAGGUAAACAUGUGCAGCUCUGCAAAAAAGUAACAGAAAUGGAGUACUAUACCUCCCCAUGUCCCUACAGAUAAGAACUGAGUGUUAUGGUUAGGUGGUUGGUGCCCUAACUCUUUUUUAUCAUGUUACAUUGUUUGUCUCCUUAGUGCAGCAAUUAGUAAAUAAUGGACCCUGUCAGUUUAACUUUUUACCCAUUUUGAUCAGAUACUGAGAAAGUGGGAUCUGUACCAAAAACUUAUAGUUGGAAAUAGAAUUCAUGAAAGCUUUACAACUACUACUUAGGAACAUAACUAGCUCCAGCUUUUUCAAAGUGAUUGAGAUUUUUUAACCCAGGUUAAAAGCUCUCAUUAUACAUGUGUUAAUUUAGUUGAAUUCUCUGGAUUUGGACAAACUGAAAUACAAUAUCCGUUCUGGUAGAAUUGCACUUGCUUGCACACACAUCCCUCUUUCCAUAAAGGCGGGUAACGAAAGUAUUUGUCUCAUUUUGACAGAUGCAGAUACUUAGAUAUGAAAAUUGUGUUAGUAUCGCUUUCUUAACUUUCGGUUAUUCCUUUUUUUCUUGUUAAUUAGAAGAUCCCAAUUUAGUCUAUUAUGGAGUUCUUUCUUUUGAAAUUAUUUUUUCUAAAGAAAAAAAACAUUAUUAACGAAUCUGUAUAUCACUAAAUGGGAAAUGGACUUUAUUUCCCACUACCAGCGGUGUUCAUUGGAAAAGGGGAAGAAAAAAAGAUAACCAGUCUUUUACGUUUUUCCAACUAACCCAUUAUUCACCAGUUAGUGUUGGCAUGGGCCUAUACUAACAUGAAAUACAUGAUCACUGUCUGCACCAGAAAAAUUGUUUUACAGUUUUCAUUGUCCUUGUUAUAAUGAGUCUUGAAUGUGAGUCAUCUGAUUCAUGAUCAUUUUUUAAUUAUGGGACAUCAAGACCUACAAAUCUAUAUCUGUAUUCGCUACAAAUCACUAAUCUACAGGGGAUCUAAUCUAGAUGUACUAAUCAUUUGAUUUGUACCAAACUUUAGGUCAAAAUACUCAAUGUCUUAACGGGCCCUCCACGGUUGUCCCACAUGACAUCUUUUUUGGCCCGUUGGAGUUAUUGGAUUUCUGUUUGCCCGUCAUCAUACUGUUAUUUUUUCUUCGUUUCUUUACUUUUUUAUAUAUUUUUUUUAGUGUUUGUAAUUAUGAUGAGUUCAUAACUGCUGAGAAGAAAGAGGUAUUAGAAUACUAGAAACGAUCUUUAUUUACUUUACCCAAUUAAUUGGAUAAUGAAUAGUUUCAAUGACAAUUCUGUCUUCUUAUGUAGUUUAAGGACACAAAACAGUUCCCAAAUCCUAGAAAAAUGUACUACAGUCGUCUACAGCACACUUGUAGUAUUUUAUUUCUAAAGUGUGAGGCAAGGUUAAGGAAUUUAGUAUAGUAUCAUAUAAAAUUCGGAAUUCAUAUUCUACUACCUUUGUCUUAUGUUCUAAGGUCAUGGUUUCUGGUUAUAGGAUAUAUAGAUCAACAAGACCUACUUCCAGAUAGAACAAGAUUUAGUAUAUAAAACCAGGAUCAUAGUUGUAGAAAAAUAACCUUAUGUUUUUGUCUUACGUAUUAUUUAUUUUAGUUAAACUAGUUUAACCUUAGUGACUCAUAAUUCCACUCAUUUAGUACAAAUUGAUACUAAAAGUGUAAGACAUUUUUCCUUAUCUUCCUCCAAGAGAGAUGGCUGCAUUUUCCUUGCAUUCGUUCGGUUUGAGAAAAACUUUUAGUAGGUAUUUUGGGCAUCACAAAGGAUUGAGCUGUGGUUUUUAAAGUAAACGAUUCUUUGACAGAUAUUAGAAUUUAGAACCUUCUUUAUCUUGGAUUCUUUUCGUCAUAUCUAUUGUAUCUUAGUUGCAACUGUUCACAGUGAAAAGACCUGUUGAUGUGCUUCUUUUAUUGCAAACAACUGCUAAAAAUAGAUUCAUCAACGUCUAUUAAGUCCAAUAAAAAUUUACAACGGCUGGUUACAUCCUACUGUAAACGAAAGUCUUGCAACUUACUUGCCGACAUAUAAUCAUGAUUUAUCCCUUAAGUCUAAGUUUUAUUGCCUUUCGUUGCAUUCCCACUAAUUGAUAGAUUACAAUUAUUAUUAUAUUAAGUUCUUCUUUUUUAAAAUUAAGCGACUAUUUGAUAAGUUAAUUACUAACGUUUCUUUCUUUGUGAAUUAAAAUUCCAAUCGUAGCUAACAAGCAAGUACAAGUUGUUGUUUACUUGGACUAGUGAACAAUCUACCAGAUUAAUGGUUGUUGGGCAGGCAAACUGAUUUCUUUCUAGAUUACAUAAACAACAAGGUGUGGAGGAAAUAACAACCUAGAAAGUAGCUAUAUAGGCAUGGAAUGAAAAGGAUGGAAUAUGACAUUUUCGGACGGUUCAACAUUGUAAUCACAUUUCAGGCCACCAUUGAUUCCAUAGAAGACUUGGAUCUUUAUGGGAUGGGUUGUUGAACCCGUUUGGAAAAUGAAGGUCCUAAAAAUAUCAUGGCUAACCAAUGGCAGGGCGACACAUAAUCAGUAGAAACUCUGUGCAAGCCAUUUUAUUACACCCUUUGGAGUUCGGAGUUACUGACCGGGGUAUAUUUGGAGGGAGUGUUUAAAUGCUGUUGACGUGAAGAAUCUCAACAACUGCAUAUGCAGUCCGUUUUGGAGGUACCCUUUCGUCUAAAGUUCCGACAAGAACUGAUUAUCUGACUCAUGUUUUUCCAUUUAUUAUAUCUUGUGACCAACCAUUUAUUAAGGGGCAGGACAACUAUUUACAAAAAGAACCCAGACGAAUAGUGGUCGGA